GCUGGAUAGCUCAGUUGGUUAGAGUGUGGUGCUGAUAAUGCCAAGGUUAGAAGUUCAAUCCCUGUAUGGGACAGCUGCA